rnacentral:rRNA from 1 species
GUCUAUGCCCCCACCACUCUGAACGCACCUGAUCUGGUCUGAUCUCAGAAGCUAAGCAGGGUCGGGCCUGGUUAGUACUUGGAUGGGAGACAGAGCUUCAGAAGAGGCUGCUCAGAGACA